rnacentral:tRNA from 1 species
GGGCGUAGUUGUUUAGGCAGUACACUCUGCAAAGGUGUAUGUAGCGAUUGGUUCGUUCUCGCCUU